rnacentral:rRNA from 1 species
GAUAGGUGGAGGCGCAGCGAAAGCGAGUCUGAACAGGGCGUUCAGUUCGUGGCUUUAGACCCGAAACCGAGUGAUCUAGCCAUGUGCAGGAUGAAGGUGGGGUAACACCCACUGGAGGUCCGAACCAGUGCCCGUUGAAAAGGUCUUGGAUGACGUGUGGCUAGGGGUGAAAGGCCAAUCAAACUCGGAAAUAGCUGGUUCUCCGCGAAAGUUAUUUAGGUAGCGCCUCGAGUGAAUACCUCACGGUUUAGAGCACUGGAUGGGCUAGGGCCGCCCACAGAGGUACCAAACCCAACCAAACUCCGAAUACGUGAGAGUACUGCUCGGGGGACACACGGCGGGUGCUAACGUCCGUCGUGAAGAGGGAAACAACCCAGACCGCCAGCUAAGGUCCCAAAGUCAUGGUUAAGUGGGAAACGAUGUGGGAAGGCACAGACAGCCAGGAUGUUGGCUUAGAAGCAGCCAUCAUUUAAAGAAAGCGUAAUAGCUCACUGGUCGAGUCGGCCUGCGCGGAAGAUGUAACGGGGCUAAACCAUGCACCGAAGCUGCGGCAGCGACACUAUGUGUUGUUGGGUAGGGGAGCGUUCCGUAAGCCGUUGAAGGUGGAUUGAGAAGUCUGCUGGAGGUAUCAGAAGUGCGAAUGCUGACAUGAGUAACGAUAAAGCGGGUGAAAAGCCCGCUCGCCGAAAGACCAAGGGUUCCUGUCCAACGUUAAUCGGGGCAGGGUGAGUCGACCCCUAAGGCGAGGCCGAAAGGCGUAGUCGAUGGGAAACAGGUUAAUAUUCCUGUACUCGGUGUUACUGCGAAGGGGGGACGGAGAAGGCUAUGUUAGCCGGGCGACGGUUGUCCCGGUUUAAGCAUGUAGGCGGGAAGUUUAGGUAAAUCCGGACUUCUGUUAACGCUGAGGUGUGAUGACGAGGCACUACGGUGCUGAAGUAACAAAUGCCCUGCUUCCAGGAAAAGCCUCUAAG